CUACUCUCUGUCAGUGUUUUCUACAACUGCAGUUUGUAAUAAAGAAACCUCCUCAUUGUACAUAGAUUUUCGAUGUCUUGGUUUCCCUGGGUAAUACCGAGGGCAACAUUAUAAAUCAUGUCUCAAAAUAUACCAAAUUCAGACGGUAAAAAUAUACUCGACGCCACGGAGCUUUUGCUUCACAUGCACGCAUGUGUACGCAAACAUGCACACAGCGAUGUGGGUGUGUCCUUACAAUGCAGGGUCAUUCGAGGUUUUUUCAGCUUUUUUUCCUUUCUUUUUGCAAAGAAUGCAGUGAGUCAGUCAGACGGUGAAGAGACAACAACAAGGACGAGACGAGAAGCUCGCGUAAGUACAGCUUCUUCCUUCAGUCGGUCACUUCCUGGGUUGGUUGUUCAGCUAUUAUUUCAUGCGAUCUCAGUUUAGUUCGAUUGGUCAGAUGUUGGUCAGCUUUUGCUAGUCGAUCAAUUGUACCGUUGGUAAGGAAGUUGAUUCGGUAUCUCCCCAGAUACCAAGUCAUAUAAACAUGCUAGUUUCGUUAUGAGUCGUAAUGGACUGCGAUAGUAAAUCAUGAAACGAUAAAUCGAUAGUAAGACAUGUUGUUAUUUGAAAUAUUUUCUACAUCUUAACAGGUCAUUUUGUAGCUAAAAAAAAGUUAGCAAUGUGUGUAGUUUUCCCGGCAAAUGCCUUUUGCGUCAUGUCACUCAAAUAGUUUACAGGCUGAAGUUACGAUAAGCGAUGAAAAGUUGUCAUUCACAGGUCUCCUCGCUCACAUGUUAACAAGGAGGAAGGAUGGUUCUCGACAGCGAGAAGAACUGCUGUUGGAAAGGCUGUUGCUAUCUCUAGUGCUCAGUUAAGAUAUCUGAUCGACGGUCAACUCCCUCACGUGUAUAUAAGUCCGAAGGAUGGCUCUGGACAGCAGACAUAGGGAACUGCUGUUGAACACGCUGAAGGAGCUGGGGGAGAAAGACUUCGAGGAAUUCAGGUUCCACACGGACCUGCCUCUAUGCAUACGUGAAAACGCCUGCCGGGUGUACAUUGCUGAAGAACUGAUAAAGAAGCACGCCGAGAACACUCUGGAUGAGACCGUCAAGAUUCUGGAGAAGAUCGGGAACAACAAUUUGGCCGAGAAGCUACGCAGUGACAUGCUGAAAAUAAAAGGUGCCGUCGUCUCCGUCCAUGAUGAUAAUCAGAUUAACCGAUUGAAGGGGAACCUGCAAGAACACUUGAAGGGUUUAUACAGCUUUGCAUCUGAGGGCACCACUGAGCGCUGGAAGCAGCAGUCUCUGGAGGAUGUCUACACGGAGCUGGACGUCACCUACGGGGCCGACGUCAUCCCCGACGAGCGGCACGAGGUCCUUCAGAUGGAGACCAGUGCCACUGCGGCAAAGGAGUCUAUCCUGCCAUGCGACAUCUUCAAAAGACCUGACGGGAACCGGCGACCGAUACGCACGAUGCUCACCGUCGGGUUUGCAGGAAUAGGAAAAACCUUCCUGAUUCAAAAGUUUGUGUCGGACUGGGCAAGUGGUUGUACCAACCAGGACGUGGACUUCAUAUUUCCUUUCACUUUCCGCGAGUUAAACAUGGAGAAAGGGGAGAGCUUUACGUUGGUCGAGCUGAUCCAAACUUUUGUCUGCGGAGACAGGCACAUGAGCGAGAGACUGAACAAUAUAUUUGUCAACCUGCAAACUUCUGGGAAGCGGGACUUUGAAAGCAGCGGGAUCAAGAUCUUGUUUAUCCUUGACGGACUGGACGAGUGCAACUUCAAAAUCGACUUGAAGAAAGUGAGGAAAGUGGACAUGGACGUGAGGGAAAGCUACCCGCUGGAGGUACUGUUGGCGUAUCUCAUCAAAGGGAACCUGCUUCCGUGCGCCAGGGUUUGGAUCACCACGCGGCCCGCGGCAGCCUGCGAUAUCCCCUCUGACCUCAUAGACAGCAGAACAGAGGUGAGAGGAUUCAGCGAUUCCCGGAAGCUGGAGUACUUCAGGAAAAAGUUCCCAAAUAAGGAGCACGUCGUUGAGCACAUUCAGAAAUCUCGAAAUAUCUUCAUCAUGUGCCACAUUCCAAUCUUCUGCUGGCUCACCGCCACAGUUCUUCAGCAUCAUUUAGACAAAGGGAAGAAGGGAGAGCUUCCCACAACGCUGACUGACAUGUACUCAGCGUUAAUAGGUCACCUACUGGAAAACUCCAAGGAGAGAAAUACAAAUAAGUACAUCCUUGACGUGAAAGCACUCGCAAAGCUGGCCUUUGACCACACCAUGAAUAACUGUCAGAUCUUCUACGAGAAAGACCUGGUGGACAGCGGUUUUGAUUACAGUCAAGCUGCAAAACACUCCGGAAUAUUCACUGAGGUCUUUAAGGAGGUCCCUCCGCUCAGGAGAAAGAAACAGAAGAUGUUUCAGUUCGUUCAUCUGACCAUCCAGGAGUAUAUGGCCGCAUUACACGUGAUGAUUUGCCUUUUUCAUGACAACAACAACAUUCUGGCUGGUUCAGAGCAGGAUUCAGUAUGGAAUAAAAUAUUCAUGACUUAUAAGCAGAGGACAAUCACUAAGGUCCACCAGUCAGCUCUCCAGAAAGCCUCGGAGAGUGAAGGAAACCUGGACCUAUUCCUCCGCUUCCUCUUUGGCCUCUCCUUGCCGUGCAACCAGGAACUCGUGGGGGAACUCCUGAAGGCUCCUCAGGACUGCGGGCAAAGCAAGUCAGAGACAGUCGAGUUGAUCAAGAAAAGGAUCAAACGAAACACUCCAGAGAAGAAUGUCAACUUGUUCUACUGCCUAAACGAGUUGAAGGACGACUCCUUGCUAAAGCAGAUCCAGCAGGAACUAGAUUCAGGAUGUCUGUCCUGGCUUAAAAUGUCAAAUGACAUGUGGUCGGCCCUGGCCUUUUUCUUACUGACAGACGAUGAAACCAUGAAGUCCUUCAAUCUUGCCAGCUUCUCCCAAUCGCCUUUGGGGCUCGAAAAGCUACUGUUGGUGGUCAAGGCUUCUAAAAAAUCAAGUCUAAGUAGAUGUCGCCUGGACAAAGGCAGCUGUCACCUGCUGGCUUCCGUUCUCAGUUCUCCAUCCAACCUGAGACAUCUGAAUCUGGGCUUGAACCAUCUGUCGGACGAGGGGGUGGAGAUUCUCUCAAAAGGACUGGCCAGCCCACACUGUAACUUAGAAGUCCUCUCUCUGGAAAAGUGCAAGAUCACCAGUAAGGGAUGUGUUUCAUUGGCUGAGGCACUGAAGGUAACCCCCUCCCAUCUUCAGGAGCUGGAGCUGAGGUGGAACGAUCUGUCGGAUGAAGGGGUCGAGAUCCUCUCGAAAGGACUGGCCAGCCCACACUGCAUCUUAAAAAUCCUAAAUCUUUUCAACAGCGGGAUCACCCACAAAGGAUGUUUUUCAUUGGCUGAGGCACUGAAGGUAACCCCCGCCCAUCUUGAAGAGCUGGACCUGAGCUACAACGAUCUGUUGGACAAGGGGGUCGAGAUCCUUUCGAAAGGACUGGCCAGCCCACACUGCAUCUUAAAAAUCCUCAAGCUGUACAAGUGCGGGAUCACCAGUAAAGGAUGUGUUUCAUUGGCCGAGGCACUGAAGGUAACCUCCUCCCAUCUUCAAGAACUGGACCUGAAAUACAACGAUCUGUCGGACAAGGGUGUCGAGAUCCUCUCGAAAGGACUGGCCAGCCCAAAUUGCAUCUUAAAAGUUCUCAACCUGUCCAAAUGUGGGAUCACCCAUAAAGGAUGUGUUUCAUUGGCCGAGGCACUCAAGGUAACCCCCUCCCAUCUUCAAGAGCUGGACCUGACCCGGAACAAUCUGUCGGAUGAAGGGGUUGAGAUCCUCUCGAAAGGACUGGCCAGCCCACACUCCAUCUUAAAAAUCCUCAAUCUGGAGCAGUGCGAGAUCACCAGUAAAGGAUGUGUUUCAUUGGCUGAGGCACUGACGGUAACCCCCUCCCAUCUUCAAGAGCUGGACCUGACCAGGAACGAUCUGUCAGACGAAGGGGUUGAGAUCCUCUCGAAAGGACUGGCCAGCCCACAUUGCAUCUUAAAAAUCCUCAAGCUGUCCUACUGUGGGAUCACCAGUAAAGGAUGUGUUUCAUUGGCUGAGGCUCUCAAGUUAAACCCCUCCCAUCUUCAAGAGUUGAAUCUCAGCAACAACCAAAUAGAGGAAAAACAAAAUAGGGUUUUAUUGGAGAUCAAGGAGGAUCCCAGCUAUAGCCUGAAGACUGUCAAAUUUAACCUGUGGGUCUAAGAACAACGUUUGGUCCUUGGCGUCAGGAAGGGCGAGUCAUUCCAAAUGUUCAUUAUUAGAAGACGUCGAGUAAGCCUGUCGCAAUAUGCAAUAAUUCCAUUUAUCGCGCGAUAUAUAAAAAUGAAGGCGGUAAUUUUCCCGCUGCGAUUUAUCGCCUCACGUGCACGUGUGUGCGCGCGUGCGGCAGACGUGCUGUUAAAAGUUCGUUACCAACUGCGCAAAAUGCAUCUUCGUUCCAGGUCCGGCAAAAACUAGUGCCAGAGCCAAUCGUUCCCAUUAUAUCCUAUUGUUCAACGUAUACCGGCCGCGUCAGUGCCCCGGAGUGACUGUGGACCAUCUAUGGCGCGCCGGUGUUGUUGACGUGUGGGCGCUCCCGUCAGGAGUGACAUUUCACGCGGGGCGGCUAUUUUUCGGCACAACGCUGGAUAUUUACAACGAAGUCCGCCAAAACAUUGUUACCGAUUUGGCUGCUACGAAUAACCUCACUUUGACAACGAACAGCUGAAUGAAAUUAAGAGCGCUGUGCUUCAAACUCGUCCUGUUUAUGAAAGCCGUCAUAUGCUUGCGCGCACACACUAGAUAUCAUGAAAUGGCAAACUAGAUGUGCUACGUUCCAUGCCAUUGGCUACGUGAGCCCAGAGUGAUUAUGGGACGUGUAGUCCAUAUACUACAUCGCUGAAUUCUAAACUGUCAUUUGUCACAUGAGGUUAAGAAGGCCAAAUCAAUCCAUACCAGUGACUAUAGAUAAUGUUGCAAAUAUUGUUAAUUCAGUACGUGACACAGAUGGAUUCGGACCAUAAAUAGGAUGUCUUGCUCAUGUAGUAAACCUAGCUGCUAAGAGAGCUGUAGAAAUCAACGGUGUGCCCUGCCUCACUUUACAAACAGUAAAGAUUGUUCUCAGCACUUUUAUACAAUUUUUUUUCAUAUCAGUAAGAAGUAAGCACGUAAAUAUUAUGCACUAAAAUGCAUGUUUAUAUGACGGCAAUUUAAUUUUUGCUCAUUAGCAAAAAAAAAAAAAAAAAAAAAAAAUACAAUUUUUUUUUUUUUUUACAGAGUAUUAAAUGUAUUGAAUCGGCUCAAAAUUCGUGUCCCCCAUAUCAAAAUUCGUAUUAAAUGCUUAAGUUAUUAAGUGCAAUUUUUUUUAAUUAAACACAUUUUAUUUAUUCUGUGUUUCUGUGCGGUAUCAAUAUUGUUGUUUUUUACUUAAGAGGCAGGGUCUAUUGUUUUUAGUUGUGAUUUCUUAAAAAGUAUAUUUGAAUUUAAGAGUAAAUAUUAAUUGUGUUUAAAUGGGUGUACUUGAUCUAUUAAUAUAUACUGUAUUCGCACUGUGUUAUUGUAAAUUGGUUAAAAAAAAUUGGGGGGGGGGGCGCAAUAAUAUCGCAUAUCGCAAUAAUUUAUGAGAAUAAUUAUCGCACACUAAAAUUUGUUAUUGCGACAGGCCUAACGUCGAGUCCAUUUGGUCUCCUUCAGAUUUAGUUCGGUCUCACGUACUCUCUGGCAAUUGCUAGAGGACCGGGUGUCGGCACUACGGGCAAAGCGGCCUCGCUCACAGAAUUCGAGGAAGUCGUCGUCGGGUUCUUUGCAGCCACAUGGAGGUGGAGUUCAAGGGGAAGGUCUACGACGUUCCCACCAAACUGCUGGCAGUUGUAUUCAUCCAUUUGUAUUGGAAGGGGCUGUCCAAAUGGAUUGGACUCUAGAGCAUCAUCAAUGGCAGCCAUCUGUCCAAAUGCGAGAUCACCAUUAAAGGAUGUGUGUCUUUGGCCGAGGCUUUCAAGUUAAACCCCUCCCAUCUUCAAAAGUUAUUUCUCAUCAACAAUCGAAUAGAGGAAAAAGAAAAGAGGGUCUUAUUGAGGAUCGAAGAGGAUCCCAGCUAUAGCCUGAAGACUGUCAAAUUUAAAUGGGAAUAAGAACAACGUUUGGUUCUUUGCGUCAACAAGGGAGAGUCGUUCCAAAUGUUCAUUAUUUGAAGACGUUGAGUCCAUUUGGUCUCCUACGGAUUUAGUUCGGUCUCAGGUACGCUCCGAUGAUUGCAAGAGAACCAGGUGUCGGUGCUAGGGGCAAAGCAGUCUCGCUCACAGAAUUUGAGGAGAUCGUCGUCGGGUUCUUUGCAGUGACGAGGGGAAGGUCUAUGACGUUCCUACUAAACUGCUGGCAGUUGUUUUCAUCCAUUUGUACUGGGAGGGGCUGUCCAAAAGGAUUGGACUUUAAGCACCCUCAAUGGCAGCCAAUGAGUUCAAUAAGUACCCUUAAAAGGGUUAACUUAGGUUUUUCACAAAUUUAAAAGAAAAUGUCAUGAGUACACUUGAAAUAGUUUCGCUCAUUUUGACAUCAAUUUUUUUAAAUUUGAUCAUUUUCACUUCUUUGUUUAAAAUGUUGUUUUGAAUGAGAACAUUAAAAACCUAACUUAAAAUAAUUGCCUUUAAAAAUCAUCGAACAAUUAAAAAAAACUUGAAUUAAUACACUGGAAACGUUUCAAUUGUUCUCACUAUUGCAGCAGCGGGGGAGAGACGAGGCAGCGAAAAGAGUUCUGAAUCUACGACGAGUGGCCAAUGAGGAGCCUGUGUGCUAGAAGGCGAAGGACCAAGCAAUGUCACUUCCCGUUCAGUUAUAUUGCCAAGCAGUCUUUGGGAUUUGUUUGGCA